ACUUUCAGAAUAUAUCAAGAGAUGGUUUCAUGAAACAAAGAAUACUGCAGAGGAUAGAACCGUGGAUUCAAAGGGCUACAGACCAUCCUUGAGGACCCAGAUCCAUCCGUUAUUGUUCAUCUUGCCUCCUCUCUUUUUGUUGCAAGCCUUGGGCUCAAGUCCGAUGCUCAGUCAGGACAGCUUGGUGUUGAAGACAACUUUCUUGAACGGUUGCAACCUUUUUUGCGUGGUUGGGCGAACACGAUUUGGCAUGAGCUAAGAUGUUUUGCAGGAAGCGUCUUACCAUGGAAACAUAUGACUCAGUGGUUGAGUACAACCAAAACAGCCACAACUAACGCCACAGACACAGCUAUAACUUUCCCAAACAAACCCCAAGUGUGCAAUGUAAUUUGGCUCAUUUCUGUCUUUAGCCUUGUUGCAUUUGGAGUAGCACUGAAGCUAUGAAGCUAUGCUAGGAGCCUCACUGGCUGAGGCAUCAAGACUUCUUAUGAUUGAAAGUCGUUUGUGGUUCGUGUGAACUUCUCCGUGAUAAUUUCGCAAGCAUUUGCUCAAUUGCAUGAAUAAUCAUCAUAUAGGUAGCUCUGUUGUUGCUGGAGAAUGAGCCAAAUUUUGUGGAUAAAGAUGCUCAACUGGGGGUGGAAUUUGAGUUGGAACAUGGAGAUACAAUGCCGAGGAUCUUGCCAGUGGUAAAGCAGGAAGCAAAGUUCUCUUGGAAAGGAUGCAGAAAUGAUGUGCUGGUCCUACCAAGCAUGAUCAGCAGAUGCAUUGAGCGCAGCUUCUCAAUGAUUUCCGGUGGAAUGGGCUGCUCUUCUUUGUUUUGGGGAAGGUGGGGAAGGAAGGGGUCGGGCUUUCAGUGUACAUCUUUCCUUUUCUUUCUUUCUUUCUUUCUUGGUUUAAACUCUCGAUCUAAACAUCUCAUGGUUGGUUUAAGCUGGCUGCCCUUGUAAGAAAGGAUCAUUUCAUAAAGACAGACUGAUUAUAAGGUAAAAAAGUAAUUGUUUGAAUCCUGAAAGAGAUCCCAGGUAGUGGCCAGAUCCUGUACGCAAAGAAGUGCAUGGAUGUGGAUCCCAUUUGCCUCUGGAAACGGGAGAACCUGAGACAUGCGAGUCAGCGUAUUCUGAAAGAACCCCCCAUGCAAUGUAAGGUUUUAUUUUGUGCAAUUUGACAGUUGAACUAUGAAUAGGCAUCAACUCUCUGUAUUCUGACUCAAGAAAUUGGAGAGCACUAGCUUUCUUUUCUGAUAGUUCUUUAUUUCUGACAGGGGCAUCUCUACUUUUGUCAACCUAGUAUUUCUACUUAGUAGGGGCCAAAAGGAAAAAGAAACUUCCUCUCGGAACAGUCUGUUAUACUGCCAGCUCGUCACUAUCAGAAUGCAUCAAUUGUUACAGCUUUUUACAUGACAUUAGCUCAUAAAAGCACACAUCAAACAAUACAUUCUCUCUGAAUCCCAAGGAAAGAAACGGAUUUGUGUUAGUGCAUGAAUGGCUUCUAGAUAGCAGAUCACUGUCACUCUUCUUCUGGUUCUUCCUCUUCCUGGAGAAGAUUUUCUCUAUUAUCAUGUGCCCAAAAACCACGCACAUCUAUAAGCAUGCUGGCUACAGUCCCUCCUUGUUUGCAAGCUAGCAGAUCAGCGAGUGUAAUCCUCAAUGGGUCAGCUGGCUUGACCAUAUCCCAUAUUUCAUCCCUCACAUCCUCAAUGCACAAUUCAUAGUUACCGCCCUCGAUCCAUUUCUGGUGUACAUCUCUGUUUGACAAGUAAAAAACUUGUUUAAGUGGGACGAUGUUUAUACCAACAGCUGAAACUGUAAAAAUCAAAAGGACCAGUGGAUGUUAACUGUGAUCUUUAUGUGCCUUUCAAUCUAAUAUCUAGGUUCAUGUCUCUGAACAUUUGAGGCU